rnacentral:misc_RNA from 1 species
GAUGAAGAACGUAGCGAAAUGCGAUAAGUAAUGUGAAUUGCAGAAUUCCGUGAAUCAUCGAAUCUUUGAACGCACAUUGCGCCCCCUGGCAUUCCGGGGGGCAUGCCUGUCCGAGCGUCAUUUCUGCCCUCCAGCCCGGCUGGGUGUUGGGCGCUGUCCCCCCGGGGACACGCCCCAAAGGCAGUGGCGGCGCCGCGUCGGGUCCUCGAGCGUAUGGGGCUUUGUCACCCGCUCUUGUAGGCCCGGCCGGCGCUUGCCGACACAUCAAUCUUUUUUCCAGGUUGACCUCGGAUCAGGUAGGGAUACCCGCUGAACUUAAGCAUAUCAAUAAGCGGAGGA